UGAGGAAUAUUGGGCAAUGCCCGCAAGGGUGACCCAGCAACGCCGCGUGGAGGAUGAAUGUCGUAAGAUUGUAAACUCCUGUUAGAGGGGAAGAAUAGUACCGGUUGGACCGGUAUAUGACUGUACCCUCAGAGAAAGCCCCGGCUAACUACGUGCCAGCAGCCGCGGUAAUACGUAGGGGGCAAGCGUUGUCCGGAUUUACUGGGUGUAAAGGGCGCGCAGGCGGGAUAAAAAGUCAGUGGUGAAAUCCUACAGCUUAACUGUAGAACUGCCUUUGAUACUUUUAUUCUUGAGUUCGGGAGAGAGAGACGGAAUUCCAGGUGUAGUGGUGAAAUACGUAGAUAUCUGGAAGUACACCAGUUGCGAAGGCGGUCUCUUGGUCCGACACUGACGCUGAGGCGCGAAAGCGUGGGGAGCAAACA
rnacentral:rRNA from 1 species